CAUGUAUAUAAAAAAAAUGCAUAUAAAUAUAAAACAAGUAUGUCAAAGUCUAGCACGGUCCAAAUAAACAAGGUUUAAGUUUGUUGGCCGCAAAAAAAAAAAAUCACUUCAAUUUUCAUAGGAACGUAGGUUUAUUUUGAAAAGUACAGCAUAAAAAAAAAAAAUGCAUCCCCCCCUCUCCUAAACCACAGCAUCCCCCUCUACUAAAUCCCAGCCUCCCUCCCUUCCACCCCCCAUCUACUAAUUCCAGCUCUCCCCUCUAGCCAACAAACAAACUUCACUCACAUUGCCGCUGCCAGUUUGCGACUCGAGUCCGGCCUCUGCUAUACCCUAAAUGGCGCAAUCCUCACCCUGUGCCAAAGCGAAUCCCACCGCUACUUGAAACCUUGUGAAGGUGGAGCACGUUGAUGUCACGUUGGAAUGUGACGCGGCGUUGCGUGCCUCUGUGUACCUCCAGGUCCUCCACUGUCCAGCCACGGCCAUCACAACACUGACUAACACACACACAGACAGGCACACACACACAUCAUUGUAUUUAUCCCUGGGGUCCAGUGGGGAUCUUCUAUCUGGAGAUCUCCUUCCUGCAGCUAACUGCUUCCUCGUGCGGAGUUUAGUGAUGCCGGGUGCAGUCAUGACGUCAUAUUCAGGCAUCCCUACAGACAGUGGCGUACA